UGGAAGCAUCUCAUUCCGAUGAAAGUAAGGGACAGCUUAGGACCAGAAGCCUUUCGCGGAGAAAAGGCUGACAUGCCCGUCCUAUAUGACAGGAGACAAUACGGUUCUGUGGAUAUCCCAAAUUAGUUAUACAGGUAUCAGUUGAGUUGCCUUAAAUCUUAGUUGUUCAACGAAUUAUAAACUGACCUUUACAGCCCUUGGGACCAAAUUAAGGUAACAACGACUGGUUUUUAAAAAAUACAUUACUGGGAACCUGAGGGUAUCAUGUUAUGGGGGGAUGGGGGCUGCGGUGACUCGCAGGAUCAGGAAUUUCAACCUAGAGAACCGAGAAAAGCGGGAAAUGCGCAAGAUGAAGGCCUCUCCUCCUGCAGGCAUCCCUCUACCAACAGCCUCCUGCGAGAGCAGAUUAGUCUCUAUCCAGAAAUUAAGGGAGAGACUGCUCGUAAAGAUGACAAGCUGCUAUCAUUUCUUCAUUUCUAAGAGAUGUAUAUGUUGAUUUCAAAGAUCCUGUGUCUUCCAUGCUGGUAAAAGCUGCUGAAACAUGUCAAGAGCCAAAGGAAUUCAGAUUUGCCGAAAGGUCAUCACUUUGAUAUGAUAAAUAUUGAGAGCAUCCCCAAAGGCAUAAUUUCCAUGGUAGAAGCAUUGACACUUCUCAAUAAUCAUAAACUUUAUCCAGGAACAUGGGCUGCUGAGAAAAUAGCUCAAGAAUACCAUUGAGAACAGAAAGAUGUGAAUUCCCUUUUUAAAUGUUUUGUUGAAGUCAAAUCUUCCCUCUUGAAGACAAGAAAACAAUACAAUCGAAAUGAAGAAAAUCACAAAAAUUUCCUAUGUGUACUCCUCAUCCCUCAUCCUGUAUGUUUUCUCAUUUUUUCAUAUUAAAUUAUGUUAAUUACCAAGUGUUUAAUGCUCUCAUUGUGAGAGCAUACUCUUAAUAUUUAUUGAGCUCCCUGACUUUUCAAGAUUGCCAUAGAAUGUAUUUUGUUUUCUUUUAAUUUGGUUUAGGUAUAUUUCAUAUGUACAUGUCAGCAUGACUAAUCAGCACAUCUGUAACUUUAUUAUAAGUAAAAGUUAAUUUGUUAUUUUAGGCACAUCAUACCAACUUUUCAAUUGGUCAUAUGAUGCCUUGGGAAAUGUGUUGAAUCCCUCAUUUAAGUUUUACUUUCCAAGUUAAGUGUUUAGUUCAUUCUUCAUAUGUGAUAGUGAAAGUAGAAGCUUUCCUGACUCUUAAGACUGACAUUUUCUUGUCAGCAAAAAGAGACUGGAUAGCAAGGUAGACAAACAAUGUUUCUCAGAGAAAGACGCACAGUAGAAAAUAAUGAAUCAAUAGAAUCUAAUUAAAAUUACUACUCCUGGGAAUAAGAAAUAUUGAGGAUUUAUUUUAUUUUGAAUUGGUUUUAAGUAUGGAAUGAUUGUCUUUACAGUUAUAAAAUGUGAUUAAUUGUGUUUACAAAAUGUUGGGAAUUUCUGCUUUGACAAACAGGUAAGUCCCAUGGCCUUCAGAGAGGCAGGCAGAAGUGGAAACUUUUUUAACAUGGAAAUAGAAAAAUUUAAAGAAUAAUUGAAUCAAAAAAACACGGCAAAUGAAAUUUUGUGAUUAUAUAUUGUUUCGGAUGUUAACACUAGAGAGAAGAGAGAAAAAAUAGCAAGUAAAGGCAGAGAACAGGAUCAUUACAAGGGACCUGAGAAAUUGCUGCUUCAUCAAUUUUAGCAAACUUAGCAUAGCAUGUACCAGUACUAGGAUCUUGAGUGAGGUAUGUGAGUUUAGCUCUGCCUAAUAUGUUACUACUUGUGGGAUCUUUGGGAGACUAUAUCUUCUUUGAGAUGGAAUUUCUUCUAUAAAAAGAGCAUAAUGCUACCUUACUUAAAUUUAAGGGUUAUCAUGAAGAUAAAUGAAAUAGUAAAGGACUACAAAGGACCAAGCAAAUAUGGGUUAUUUUUUGCAGUGGAGAAACAAGCACCUGGGGAAAAUAUAUGACCUAAGGUUUUUAUAGUUUAUGACCUAACCAGGCCCAGAAUUUAGUUUUUCAAAUCCUAUUAGUGUGUUUUUUCUAUUGUGCCAAAAAUUGGCACACCUCAGAGAAGGGAAAAUGUGUGAAUUGUGGUUAUACUGGGGAUAGCAGUGUAUUUCUGAGGGAAGAUAGGCAUCACUACUUCCCAGAGAUGCCCCUGAAAAUGAUAUAGAAGAUGCUUAAGAAUUCAACAUGAUGGCAGAAUGAGGCAUUUGUAGUAAUGCUGAGAACAGAAAAAUGAACUAAGUGGAAAAUUUGUAAGCAUGCUUUUGAAUGUAGAUUUGUUAUGUGAACAAACUACCUAGUUUAUUUUUAGUUCAAUACAAUAGUUGUUUUAAGAAAACAUGAAAUAACUUCUCAAUAUAAAAUGCAUUUAAAAACUACUGUAAAUCAGUCAAAACUUUAUUCCCUUUAUCCUAAUGGUCACUAGUUGAGUCACUAAUACUAGUACACUCUAUUUCUGAGCCAUCUUUAUUCAUGUCUACAUUGUGUGGUUGGGCAGCUGUUAUGCGGGGUCACCUGAUAAAGAACUUCUUCCCAUACCAUUAAAAAAA